ensembl:lncRNA
GCUGGAGUGGAGCAAGCAGGGGAGGGACCAGGACAGACUGAGCCCCGAACAUCCCAUCACCCGGCCCAGCCAUGGACGCUGGGUGAAAACACACAAGAGCAGGCCAGCCUCCAGGAGGAGCAGGGGUCCUACCCCACACAGGGGUCCUACCCCACACAGGGGUCCCGGCUCAGGGCCGCAGCCUUCCCCCCAGCUCCCGCGCCCCGGGACCGUGGGAAAUCAGCCUGCUCUUUGUCCUGUCCUGAGCCAACACAUUUGCCUUGAGAGCGCUUAGGAACGGAAAAGCGUAGGGAGCAGCUGGCAGCCACCAUCGCGUUUGCUCUCGGAAGGCAAGACGAGGCAAAGAAAAUUCCAGAACCCAUUUAAGCGUCUGGGACUCCCGAGGUCACGGUGGGCUCCUGGCAGGCUCGGGGGCACAGCGGGUAGAGAAGGGUGUCUGCAGUUUCGCGAGGGGUUCGCGCUGUGCGGGCCCGCGCGGGCAGGACGCUGCUCUCCCGCCGGCGGAAGCGGGGCGCGCUCGGGCUGCGGGCAGCGGGGGCGCAGGGGAGAGCCCGGGCGCGGGCGCGGAGGAGCGGCAGGCGUGGGAGCCUCCGGGUGGGCGCGGCCCCAGCGGCGCAUGUGCAGCAAGACCCGGGACACGCGCCCGGAACCGUCUCGUGACCCAGCGAUGAAAGCUCGAAUCUUACGGGAUCGGCUGGAGUCCAGUGCGAUCUCUGCUCACUGCAACCUACAUCUCCCGGAUUCAAGCAGUUCUCCUGCCUCAGCCUCCUGAAGCUGGAAUUACAGAGUCGGGAUCUCAUUUCAUCACCCGGGCUGGAGCGCAGUGUCACCAUGGUGAAUCAUUACAGCCUUGAACUCCUGGGCUCAAGUGGUCCUCCUGCUUCAGCCUCCUGAGUAGCUGGGAACUACAGGUGGGCACCACCAUGCCCAGCUUAUUUCUUUUUAUUUUUUAGUAGAGACCAGGGUCUUGCUAUGUUGUCCACAUUGGUCUGAACUCCUGGGCUCAAGCGAUCCUCCCACCUCUACCUCCCAAAGUGCUGGGAUUACAGGUGUGAGUCAACGUGCCCUGCCAGGGAUUAAUUGAUUGGUUCAUUGAUUUUUAGUGAUAGGGUCUUGCUCUGUCACCCAGGCUGUAGUACAGUGGUGUGAUCACAGUUCACUGCAGCCUCCACAUCCUGGGCUCAGACUGUCCUCCCGCCUCAGCCUCCUGAGUCAUAAGAUUUUAAACUAUGGGCAUUUUCAGUCUUGCUGUUCACACGUGGUUAAUUCUCUACUCUGGCACUUUCCUAAGCAACUAUAAGCCUCAAAUGUUUCAUUGUCUUUUUUUUUUUUUUUUUUUUAUAUACGGGGUUUCACCAUGUUGGUCAGGCUGGUCUUGAACUCCCAACCUCAGGUGAGCCGCCCACCUUGGCCUCCAAAGUGCUCGGAUUACGGGCGUGAGCCCCCGCACCCAGCCUGUUUCACUGUCAAAGAGUGGCCCAGGGAAGCUACCCACUAGGGCCCAUGUACCACGGAUCUCUUGCAGGAACUGGGGUCAUGGACGAGUUCUCAUUCCGCUUCCGAGCUCCACAAAUAUGUGUUUUAAACUUUCCAAGUUUAUCUGAGCAAUUACUAGGCUGGACUGGUCCUGGAUCAGGUUGGUUCUGAUAACUCACUGGAUUGGACUCAGCUGGAGGCCUCAGGCAGCACCUUUUUGAUGUUGGGUUUUUGCAGCUCAAGGAGUCUGGGCAGGCCGAGAUUGGCAGAACUAACAGAAUCAAUCGGUGCUUUGGCCAAAGGCAUUACCGACUGAUGGAAGGGCACGGAAAACAGAAUGACCCCUUAUAAAAUAGCUAUCGGCCGGGCGCGGUGGCUCAAGCCUGUAAUCCCAGCACUUUGGGAGGCCGAGGCGGGUGGAUCACGAGGUCAACAGAUCGAGACCAUCUUGGUCAACAUGGUGAAACCCCGUCUCUACUAAAAUUACAAAAAAUUAGCUGGGCAUGGUGGCGCGUGCCUGUAAUCCCAGCUACUCAGAAGGCUGAGGCAGGAGAAUUGCCUGAACCCAGGAGGCGGAGGUUGCGGUGAGCCGAGAUCGCGCCAUUGCACUCCAGCCUGGGUAACAACAGUGAGACUCUGUCUCAAAAAAAAAAAAAAAAAAAUAGUCACCCCAAAGGAGAGUGGAAAGCUAUUCUUGAUUUUUUUUUUUUUUUUUUUUUUUUGAGACAGGGUCUCACUCUGUUGCCCAGACUGGAGUGCAGUAGGAUGAUAUCAGCUCACUGCAACUUGGCCUCCUGGGCUCAGGUGACCCUCUCACCUCAGCCUCUCAGUUAUCUGGGACUACAGUGGUCCAGCACCAAGCCCGGCUAAUUGUUUGAAAAGAUGGGGUCUUGCUGUGUUGCCCAAGCUAGUCUCAAACUCCUGGGCUAAAACAAUCCGCCCACUUCGGCCUCCCAUGCGCUAGGGUUACGGGUACGAUCUCCCCUGCGCUAGGGUUAUGGGCACGAUCUCCCGUGCGCUAGGGUUAUGGGCACGAUCUCCCGUGCGCUAGGGUUACGGGCACGAUCUCCCGUGCGCUAGGGUUACGGGCACGAUCUCCCGUGCGCUAGGAUUACG